GCCUGGCUGGCUCAGUCAGUCGAGCAUGUGACUCUUGAUCUCGGGGUUGUGAGUUCAAGCCCCAUGUUUGGUG
rnacentral:tRNA from 1 species